AGAUUGAACGCUGGCGGCAGGCCUAACACAUGCAAGUCGAGCGGUAGAGAGGUGCUUGCAUCUCUUGAGAGCGGCGGACGGGUGAGUAAUGCCUAGGAAUCUGCCUAGUGGUGGGGGAUAACGUUCGGAAACGGACGCUAAUACCGCAUACGUCCUACGGGAGAAAGGCGGGGGACCUUCGGGCCUCGCGCCAUUAGAUGAGCCUAGGGUCGGAUUAGCUAGUU
rnacentral:rRNA from 1 species